AGAGAAAUAGGGUUAGAGAGAGUGAAAUCACAAAGCUCUCUCCCUCCUUCAAGAGAAGAUCGUGAACGGUGAUGGCGGCGCGGCUAAUUCCUCUCCUCCGAUUGACAACAACACCAACGAACAUUACCUUCUUCUCUUUUCAUCACAAAUGGCAGCGCGACCUCCAUCUCCGACGAUAUCUCCUUUUCAUCUCCAGAUUAACACAAAUUCUAAAAGGGAAAACGAAAUCCAGUUGUGAAACAACGAAGCAGAAUAGGGUUCGAGAAGAAGAAAGUCGAACUUUAUAGAGAACUAAGGGAUUGAGUAGCGUUCCAUCUCCCGUGUCUUAAAAGUUGUUGGAAUGUGACAAGUUUUUGGCCAUAGAAGAAGGUUGACACUGACAUGCAUAUGCCCCUGCUGUUUGUGCUUUACACUAAUUGUGAAACUUGCUUUGGAAUUGGUAAAGGCUCCACUCCAAUGUUAAAAUGUUUUUAGUUUAUCAAUUAUAUCAUACUAUAGAUUUUUUAAGAUUUUUUUUCAUCUUUUGUUUCUUGUUGCAAUUCAUUUUCAUCUUUUGGUUUAGUACUUUUCAAAUUCUUGAUUUAGCCAUUUUUGGAAUUGGAUUGAUUUGUUUGAGUUUGUCUAACAGAAGAAAAAGUAUUAAUGAGAUUAUUUAGAGAAUUCAGUGUCUUUAUUUGCAUUUUGCUGCUUUGUU